rnacentral:rRNA from 1 species
UCAGGAUGAACGCUGGCGGCGUGCCUAACACAUGCAAGUCGAGCGGAGAUAGUUGAAGCCUAGCGAUGACUACCUUAGCGGCGGAUGGGUGAGUAACACGUGGGUAACCUGCCCUGUACUGGGGAAUAACAGCUGGAAACGGCUGUUAAUGCCGCAUAUGCGCACGGAGCCGCAUGGCCCUGGGCGGAAAGAUUUAUCGGUACAGGAUGGGCCCGCGCCGGAUUAACUAGUUGGCGGGGUAACAGCCCACCAAGGUGAUGAUCCGUAGCCGACCUGAGAGGGUGACCGGCCACAUUGGGACUGAGACACGGCCCAAACUCCUACGGGAGGCAGCAGUGGGGGAUAUUGCACAAUGGGGGGAACCCUGAUGCAGCGACGCCGCGUGAAGGAUGACGUAUUUCGGUAUGUAAACUUCUAUCAGCGGGGAAGAAGAUGACGGUACCCGACUAAGAAGCCCCGGCUAACUACGUGCCAGCAGCCGC